rnacentral:rRNA from 1 species
GACGGAGGAGGCUAGCGUUGUUCGGAAUUACUGGGCGUAAAGCGCGCGCAGGCGGCUUAGCAAGUCAGGGGUGAAAGCCCGGGGCUCAACCUCGGAACUGCCUUUGAGACUGCUAGGCUCGAGACCGAGAGAGGAGAGUGGAAUUCCCAGUGUAGAGGUGAAAUUCGUAGAUAUUGGGAAGAACACCAGUGGCGAAGGCGGCUCUCUGGCUCGGUACUGACGCUGAGGCGCGAAAGCGUGGGGAGCAAAC